rnacentral:rRNA from 1 species
AGUGAACGCUGGCGGUAGGCCUAACACAUGCAAGUCGAACGGCAGCACAGUAAGAGCUUGCUCUUACGGGUGGCGAGUGGCGGACGGGUGAGGAAUACAUCGGAAUCUACUUUUUCGUGGGGGAUAACGUAGGGAAACUUACGCUAAUACCGCAUACGACCUACGGGUGAAAGCAGGGGAUCUUCGGACCUUGCGCGAUUGAAUGAGCCGAUGUCGGAUUAGCUAGUUGGCGGGGUAAAGGCCCACCAAGGCGACGAUCCGUAGCUGGUCUGAGAGGAUGAUCAGCCACACUGGAACUGAGACACGGUCCAGACUCCUACGGGAGGCAGCAGUGGGGAAUAUUGGACAAUGGGCGCAAGCCUGAUCCAGCCAUACCGCGUGGGUGAAGAAGGCCUUCGGGUUGUAAAGCCCUUUUGUUGGGAAAGAAAAGCAGCAGGUUAAUACCCCGCUGUUCUGACGGUACCCAAAGAAUAAGCACCGGCGACCUUCGU